UAAUCUCACUACAACAGACUUUUAUGUCUUUUUGUAUGUGGACUUGGAUGCUGCCGUGGACAAAACGGCUCGUCUGAAAUGCCUGAGUGUACCCUGCUUUGCGGCGUAUUCGGUGUGAUACAUCUUCACCGGAGUUAAGAUCCCUUUUUUGGGUCGCGUCAAUACGAGUAUGGCUCUAUGCUUUCCAACCGUCUUUAACAAAGACAAUCUCUGACAAUUUGACCUCAAAUCGGGUGGGACUACCCGCUGAACUUAAGCAUAUCAUUAAGCGGAGGAAAAGAAACUAACAAGGAUUCCCCUAGUAACGGCGAGUGAAGAGGGAAAAGCUCAAAUUUUGAAUCUGGUGUCUUUGACUCCCGAGUUGUAAUCUAGAGAAGUGUUUUCCGUGUCGGACCGUGCACAAGUUCCCUGGAACGGGGCGUCAUAGAGGGUGAGAAUCCCGUAUAUGGCAUGGACCACCGAUGCUUUGUGAUACACUCUCAACGAGUCGAGUUGUUUGGGAAUGCAGCUCAAAAUGGGUGGUAAAUUCCAUCUAAAGCUAAAUAUUGGCGAGAGACCGAUAGCGAACAAGUACCGUGAGGGAAAGAUGAAAAGCACUUUGGAAAGAGAGUGAAACAGUACGUGAAAUUGUUGAAAGGGAAGCGUUUGAAGUCAGUCGUAUCUGGCGGGAUUCAGCCUGGCUUUUGCCUGGUGUACUUUCCGUCCGAUGGGUCAGCAUCAAUUUCGAUCGAGGGAAAAGGAUGCGUCGGGAAUGUGGCUGCCUUGUGCAGUGUUAUAGCCCCGUAUAUGUAUACCUCG
rnacentral:rRNA from 1 species